GCGUCGGUAGCUCAGCGGUAGAGCACUCGGUUUACACCCGAGCGGUCGGCGGUUCAGAAACCGUCCCGACGCA
rnacentral:tRNA from 1 species